rnacentral:tRNA from 1 species
GGGGUCGUAGCUCAGUCGGUUAGAGCGCCGCACUGUCACUGCGGAGGCCGCCGAAUGAAGGAGGUUCGU